CAGAAAGAUGGGAGAUGGCAAGCUCAAAUAGGCCGAGUUGCUGGUAACAAAGAUUUCUAUCUAGGAACCUUCAGAACCGAGGAAAAAGCAGCAGAAGCCUAUGAUAUUGCUGCUAUCAAGCUAUGUGGCAUGAAUGCAGUGACCAAUUUUCACAUCAGCAACUACUGUGAGAAAGGCCUUGGACAACUAGAAGAUGAAGGGAGGGAUCCUGGUGGCAUCUCCCCUUCUCAACUGAAGCUGUAGCCAUAUUGUUGGAACAGAUGAAGAACUUUGGCAGAUGCAGAGGCCUUUUCCAUUAUCCAUGAAUGUUUGGCCGGUAAUUGUGUUUUUUGUUGAGCUUCCUUCAAUUGAAAUGAGAAAUUUCUUAUGUAACUAAAACAAACAACAUUCUCUGGUCACUGGAAUUAAUUUGAAUGCCACCAGAAGGAGACCGACUCACAGGAUUUCAUA